rnacentral:rRNA from 1 species
UACGUAGGGUGCGAGCGUUAAUCGGAAUGACUGGGCGUAAAGCGUGCGUAGGUGGUUGUGUAAGACAGGCGUGAAAUGCCCGGGCUUAACCUGGGGAUGGCGCUUGUGACUGCGCGGCUAGAAUGCGUCAGAGGGGGGGUAGAAUUCCACGUGUAGCAGUGAAAUGCGUAGAGAUGUGGAGGAAUACCGAUGGCGAAGGCAGCCCCCCUGGGGUGUGAUUGACACUGAGGCACGAAAGCGUGGGGAGCAAACAGG